rnacentral:lncRNA from 1 species
AAAUACAUUCAAUUUUUAUUUGUCAAUGAUACCACAAUAAAGUUGGCAGGGUGGGGGGGGGAUCGCUUUAGCAAAAUGGGAUUUCUUGGCUCUUAUAACCAGCAAGAGUGUGCUUCCAGUUAGAGAUACCUAAAACUGGAGGUCCAUGCCACCUCCAGCUCAGCAGGUGUCAGCUUUCUCUUGCUGCGUCCUCUGUGAAGUGAAAUUACCCUUGCCUACAACUCUGGGCUCCCAUUGGAGAGUCUGGGAUUAGAGUUCAAAAAGAGUCUGACUGACCUGACCUCAGUCACAGAUCCAUCUGCUGAAGCAACUACCAGGGUGUGAUGAGGUUCUUUGUUUAAUGGCCCUCAACCAAAUCAUAUGAUUAGACAGAGAUAGGAGCAAUUACCCAAAAGGAUGAGGACAGAUAAAGAUCUGACAAAACAAUCAAUGCCUACAUCCUAAAUGUCCAAAAUAGCAAUAACAGUAUGAUAAAUUAGGGUAUAGCAAUAUAAAAGAAUAUUAAGCUGCCAUUGGGAGUUCCCAUCAUGGCUCAAUGGUUAAUGAACCCAACUAGGAACCAUGAGGUUGCGGGUUCAAUCCCUGGCCUCGCUCCAUGGGCUAAGGAUCCGGUGUUGCCGUGAGCUGUGGUGUAGGUCGCACAUGUGGCUCCGAUGCCACAUUGCUGUGGCUGUGGUGUAGGCCGGCGGCUACAGCUCCGAUUAGACCCCUAGCCUGGGAACCUCCAUAUGCCAUGAGUGCGGCCCUAGAAAAGACAUUAAAAAAAAAAGCCACCAUUAAAAUUUUUAAAUUUUUGGCAAACACCUGAAAAACAAUAAAACAAUAAAAGCAAUGAAGAAUAACAAGUGCUAUUAGGAAUUAAAACAUAUUUAUAAUGGCACAAUAAUUUAAAAACACGGAAUUAGUGCCCAACUAGAAAUGCCAAUGUAACUGAAUAGCCUAGAAUUAUAGGGAAAAAAAAAACACAGGGGAUUUAGCAUAUGCUAGAGGGGGCAUCUGAAACGUGUUGGGUAAACUUGGAUUUUUUAAUCAGUGGUAGACGGACAACUGGGUAGCUCUGUGGAAAAAGAUGAAGUUGGCUCCACACAUCAUAUUGUGCACCAAAAUCAAGUCCAAAUGUAUCAGUGACUUACAGGUAAAAUUCUGAAAUCUUUAAAGUACUAGAGGGAAAAAAUGGACAAAUUUCUUUAGAACCUAGGAAUAGAAAAAACCUUCCUAUGAUUCAUGGGAAGUAUAUAACUCAGAGGAAGAGUACAAAUGUCCCAAUACAUAUUUUCCUUCCUAUCCUUUCACGGGUAGCUAAGGAACGGAUUCUUAAAGCCCUGGCCAUGCCUCCAUAUUAUAUAUAAACUAGAACAUUUCCUUUUGGGACCUUCUUCUAUGUCCACUUUGUUAUUUCCAUGCAUUUCAUCCAAUCUUUCUAUUUUGGUAGCAUGUGCUAUAAGCUUUCAUAAUCUGUUUCAAAUAUUUUGAAAGAGGGUAUAUAUGAGAAAACAAAGAAAUGAAUGAAUGAAUGAAAAUAUAAAAGAGAAGAAGGGGAUCUAGGGAGAAUCAGGAACAAAAAAAAAAAAGAAAGAAAGCACUCUAAUCAGAAAGGGUGAUUAUCACAGCCUUUACUAUUUGCCACAUUAGAAUAGGAGGUUCCUAGAAGCCAAGGCAGGAAGGGGAAAAUGAGGUUACAUAUAUUCAGUUUUCAUUAAGGAGAGUGAACAUCAGUUCCUCUGAGGACAUAGAGCAUUUUUCUGGCACCGUAAUCUCAAAGAAAUUAAAACCUUAUAAGGAUAACAAUGCUCAGCUCCCAAGGUUGUUAGGUGACUGGAAUGUAUAUAAAAGCCCUAAUCAAUUGCAAACUCUUCUUUAGCACUAAUUAACAUAGACCUCUCUUUUCUAUACUUGCAGAUUUUCCUACUAUCAACCCUUCCCUGCCCACCUCACUCUUUCAACACAAUCCACGUGUGGCCACUCAGUGUGGAUGGAGCAGGGGACCCUCAGAAGAGCUAGGCUGAGUGCACGUGGCAUUAGGAGGACACUUGGGAAUCCUGGUGCUGGGAGGAAGCAGGAGGGAAAGGAAGAGAUCUAUUCCAGAAUAGUUCAGUGGGCUCAGAAAGAGGCCCACUGGUAGAAACAUCCUAAGCUGGGAGAAUUACUCUUUACAGCACAGUAGACUUGCAGCUGGAACGUCUCCUGGUUACCAAGGGAACUGAGACUGUCUGGACAUACCUGUGGGUCCAGUGGCUUGAGUCUGCCAGAAAACCCAUUUUUGGUUUGUUUGUUUGUGAAAUUAAGGUGCCUCCUGGGACAGAAUGUCUUAAAACAAAACAAAAAAAUCCUGCAUAACCAGCUUGACCCAGAUACCUGGUUAUAGCAAUCAGAGGGUUGGGGCUAUUUUGGUUUUUUAAUUUUAUUUUUAUUAGAGUGUAGUUGAUUUACACUAUUGCGUCAAUUUCUGCUGUAUGGCAUAGUGACCCAGUCCUACGCAUAUAUAUUCUUUUUCUCAUAUUAUUUUCCAUCACGUUCUAUCCCAAGAUAUUGGAUACAGUUCCCUGUGCUCUACAGUAGGACCUCAUUGCUUAUCCAGUCUACAUGUAAUAUUUUCCAUCUACCAACCCCAAACUCAAAACUUUCAUUCAAAAAGAUACAUGCACCCCUAUGUUCAUAGAAGUACUAUUCACAAUAACUAAUACAUGGAAACAACCUAAAUGUCCAUGGACAGAUGAAUGGAUUAAGAAGUUGCGGUACAUAUAUACAAUGGAAUACUACUCAGCCAUAAAACAGAAUGAAAUAAUGCCAUUUGGAGCAACAUGGAUAUAACUGGAGAGUCUCAUGCUAAGUGAGGUAAGUCAGACAGAGAAAGACAAAUACCAUAGGCUAUCACUUCUGUGGAAUCUAAAAUAUGACACAAAUGAACCUAUUUACAAAAUAGAAACAGACCCACAAACAUAGAGAACAGACUUGUGGUUGCCAAGGGACUAUUUUGAAUCCCACCUGAAAUCCAUUACUUAGAGCAAUCUCUCUACCCAGCAUCUACUACUGGACAAAUGUCUGUGCCUGAUGGAAGGCGGCUGGUCACAUUCAUUCAAUCUCAGUAAAGUUCCAGCGCACAAGAAGCUACUACACAGAAGAAAGGAGAACAGAGAGAGUCUGCAUGCACUUCACACCGCAUCUCCAGGCAAGGGCAGCAGCACACGGUGGACAGGCCACCAUGGCCACAAACUCAGCUGGGAAGGGCAGAGCCUGAGAUCCAGAGGCCUGCUAGGGAUCCUCAGAGGAGCGGGGACACAACUAGU